ACGGCAGCACGGGGGCAACCCUGGUGGCGAGUGGCGAACGGGUGAGUAAUGCAUCGGAACGUAUCCUUAAGUGGGGGAUAACGCAUCGAAAGAUGCGCUAAUACCGCAUAAUCUCUGAGGAGAAAAGCAGGGGAUCGCAAGACCUUGCGCUUUUGGAGCGGCCGAUGUCUGAUUAGCUAGUUGGUGAGGUAAAGGCUUACCAAGGCUUCGAUCAGUAGCUGGUCUGAGAGGACGACCAGCCACACUGGGACUGAGACACGGCCCAGACUCCUACGGGAGGCAGCAGUGGGGAAUUUUGGACAAUGGGGGCAACCCUGAUCCAGCCAUGCCGCGUGAGUGAAGAAGGCCUUCGGGUUGUAAAGCUCUUUCAGCCGGAACGAAACGGUCACGGUUAAUAACUGUGAUCACUGACGGUACCGGAAGAAGAAGCACCGGCUAACUACGCGCCAGCAGCCGCGGUAAUACGUAGGGUGCGAGCGUUAAUCGGAAUUACUGGGCGUAAAGCGUGCGCAGGCGGUUUUGUAAGUCAGAUGUGAAAUCCCCGGGCUUAACCUGGGAACUGCGUUUGAAACUACAAGGGCUAGAGUGUGGCAGAGGGGGGGUGGUACUUCC
rnacentral:rRNA from 1 species